rnacentral:rRNA from 1 species
GUGGGGAAUCUUCCGCAAUGGACGAAAGUCUGACGGAGCGACGCCGCGUGAGUGAUGAAGGUCUUCGGAUUGUAAAGCUCUGUUAAUCGGGACGAAAGAGCCUAGUGUGAAUAAUGCUAGGAAGUGACGGUACCGGAAUAGAAAGCCACGGCUAACUACGUGCCAGCAGCCGCGGUAAUACGUAGGUGGCAAGCGUUGUCCGGAAUUAUUGGGCGUAAAGCGCGCGCAGGCGGAUCUGCCAGUCUGUCUUAAAAGUUCGGGGCUUAACCCCGUGAUGGGAUGGAAACUACAGAUCUAGAGUAUCGGAGAGGAAAGUGGAAUUCCUAGUGUAGCGGUGAAAUGCGUAGAUAUUAGGAAGAACACCAGUGGCGAAGGCGACUUUCUGGACGAAAACUGACGCUGAGGCGCGAAAGCCAGGGGAGCGAACGGGAUUAGAAACCCUAGUAGUCC